rnacentral:rRNA from 1 species
CGGCAACAGCUCAAAUUUGAAAUCUGGCCUCGGCCCGAGUUGUAAUUUGUAGAGGAUGCUUUUGGCGAGGUGCCUUCUGAGUUCCCUGGAACGGGACGCCAGAGAGGGUGAGAGCCCCGUGUAGUCGGACGCCAAGCCUCUGUAAAGCUCCUUCGAC